ACCUGCCCAGAAGCGGGGGAUAACACCUGGCAAACAGAUGCUAAUACCGCAUAACAACUUGGACCGCAUGGUCCGAGCUUGAAAGAUGGCUUCGGCUAUCACUUUUGGAUGGUCCCGCGGCGUAUUAGCUAGAUGGUGGGGUAACGGCUCACCAUGGCAAUGAUACGUAGCCGACCUGAGAGGGUAAUCGGCCACAUUGGGACUGAGACACGGCCCAAACUCCUACGGGAGGCAGCAGUAGGGAAUCUUCCACAAUGGACGAAAGUCUGAUGGAGCAACGCCGCGUGAGUGAAGAAGGGUUUCGGCUCGUAAAACUCUGUUGUUAAAGAAGAACAUAUCUGAGAGUAACUGUUCAGGUAUUGACGGUAUUUAACCAGAAAGCCACGGCUAACUACGUGCCAGCAGCCGCGGUAAUACGUAGGUGGCAAGCGUUGUCCGGAUUUAUUGGGCGUAAAGCGAGCGCAGGCGGUUUUUUAAGUCUGAUGUGAAAGCCUUCGGCUCAACCGAAGAAGUGCAUCGGAAACUGGGAAACUUGAGUGCAGAAGAGGACAGUGGAAACUCCAUGUGUAGCGGUGAAAUGCGUAGAUAUAUGGAAAGAACACCAGUGGCGAAGGCGGCUGUCUGGUCUGUAACUGACGCUGAGGCUCGAAAGU
rnacentral:rRNA from 1 species